rnacentral:rRNA from 1 species
UACGAAGGGGGCUAGCGUUGCUCGGAAUUACUGGGCGUAAAGCGCACGUAGGCGGAUCUUUAAGUCAGGGGUGAAAUCCUGGAGCUCAACUCCAGAACUGCCUUUGAUACUGAGGACCUUGAGUUCGGGAGAGGUGAGUGGAACUGCGAGUGUAGAUGUGAAAUUCGUAGAUAUUCGCAAGAACACCAGUGGCGAAGGCGGCUCACUGGUCCGGUACUGACGCUGAGGUGCGAAAGCGUGGGGAGCAAACAGG